CGCCGUCUGCGCAUGCGUCCCCUCCCACUCGCACGACUGUGCGGCGCAUGCGCUUGCCGGGCCACUCCCCACCCACACACCAACCACGCCUGAGCCAUGCCGCCGGACGCGUUCCAAUCUGGGCGUUAGGCGGGCCCGCCAAGCUGAAAGAACUGGUGCUGGGCACUGGACAGUUCCCUGAGGACAGUUCACUGGGCACUAGCUAUUCCCUGAGGACUGAGGCGCGACCUUCUGGAAGAGCCCAGGAGGACAUAUAAGCAGUUCUAUGAAGAGGUCUAUGUGUGAAGAACUGAGGCCUCCUACCAACAACCAUGUGAGGGAGUCACCUUGGAGGCAGAUCUGCAGCCCUGGUCAAGCCUUCAGAUAACUGCAGCCCCAGAUAGCUCUCUGUUGCAUGGGAUCUUGAUCAUAUAUUGUGCUUGGGAGGAAUGAAUUGUGUCUAUUUCUCUUUCCCUGUCAUGUGCA